rnacentral:misc_RNA from 1 species
UGUCAUUCAGAGGUUGUGCCAGCCUUUAUGUGUUAUUUGGCUUGAAGAGGAACUCUCUCUGCGAAAUGGCAAAACUAACACAGAAUAUCUUUCUUCAGCAAUUAAUAACUUAAAUGGAUAUGGAGUCCUGACAAACAUCAGAAAGUCAGGGAAGGAGCAACUAUUUGCUGAAUUUAUUUGUGUUCUUAGCUUUGGUUUUCUCAGGAAACCUGGCUUUUAUAAUGAUAGCUUGUUUAUGGAGCACGGAGUUUCUAUACUGGAGGAUUUGGUUA